GUCACAACGCCCUCAUAGAACUCCGUCUCUUCAAUGCAAACUCGAUCUUGGGAAACUCUCAAAAGUCUAGAUUCUUCCCUUAGUCAAUUUUGUGCACAAAUCAAGGCCUCAACUUUUUUAGGAGUUAAAGAACUCCUAAAUGGAUCGAGAAUAUGCCCUCCAGUACUAAAUGAUGACUCAGAAGCAACUGUAGAUAUAGGAAUGGCAAAAAACAUCCCUUGUAACCUCAGAUAAAAUUUCAAAUCUUGAUUUAUUGAUCUUCCACCAAUUUAAAAUGUCAAAAUUUUCAUCACUAGCAUCUUCAAUGGGUUCCAUUAGAUAUCAUUGUACCUCAUCUUUUCUAGAAAAAUUCAUUUUGGUAGUUCCCAAAAUCAAAAUUGCAAUCAUCCCAGUCGUCAUCAUCAUCAUUUGAACCUUUCAACAAAGUGAUUCCAUCAUUAGAUUCAUCGCCCCCACUUCCACUUCCACUUCCACUAGGUCCAUUUUUUGAAUGAUGUCGUCCCUUAUGUUGGUUACACAAAGCAUACAAUAAUUUCAUGACCUCAUUUUUUGUGGCUUCAACUUUAACAUUGUCAUAUAAGAUUCCAAUGCAAUGUACAACACAACUUAUAUCUAGGAUCAAGCACGACUGCUACAAUCAAAAUCUUGUUCAUUUUAUCAACUUUACCCCAAUACUUGUCAAAAAUAAUCUUCAUGCUAUUUGCUAUACUACUUAGCAAAUAAUCUUGCUUCUCACCCAUUUUCUUCAAAAUUUCUCGAUUUUACAAACUUUGUGGAAGUAAAUAUUGGAAGCAACACUCAGCGAAGCACUAAACUUCAAUGUGAUAUCAUAAAAGGUUUUUAGAAAAUUUCUAGCUUUCUCCUAGUCGUAACUUGUAGUGGCCCCUCUUUUUCUUUUCCACCUUCAUUCUCAUCAAAAUAUUUACAAUAAACUCCAUCAUCUUCCUCCAUUCUUUCAACAGCUUUCUCAAAAUUCAAUGUACUGUCCAACAUUAAGAAUGUUGAAUUUCAUCUAGUAAGAACAUCUAAAAUAGCAAGUUUUGUGCAUGCAAUUUUUUCCCUUUCAAUACAACAUUUAAAUUUCGUCAACCGGGAAGGAGAUGAUUGAAAAUAUUUGAGCACAGUACGAAUACUUUCUAUAGAUGGAUUAAACUCUUUCAAUCCUUCUUUAACAAUAAAAUUGACUAUGUGUGCUUGAUAUGAUCCCGGGUGCGCCAUCAAUUUUUAAGAAUUCAUUGAUUG
rnacentral:lncRNA from 1 species